CAUCCUCCGAAAUGUCCUUCUUCAUCUCCUGGAAGAGUUUGAGAGAUUUGAGGAAGGAGCCGAUUCAGCCGUCAGGAGGGAACUCUGUAAGGGAGCUAGCACCCCAAGGAGUUCGUCAGACUUUCGAUCAGACUUGGAUCCUCGUGUGGCUAGGUGACUGUGCAACUACUGUGCAACUAGGAGAACUAGCAAAUCUACAUUCCUUAACUAUGGUGAAUAUUGAUCCACGCUCAAAUAUUGAGAUUCUGUUGGGAAUUG
rnacentral:lncRNA from 1 species